rnacentral:rRNA from 1 species
UACGAAGGGGGCUAGCGUUGCUCGGAAUUACUGGGCGUAAAGGGCGCGUAGGCGGACAGUUUAGUCAGAGGUGAAAGCCCAGGGCUCAACCUUGAAUUGCCUUUGAUACUGGCUGUCUUGAGUUCGGGAGAGGUGAGUGGAAUUCCUAGUGUAGAGGUGAAAUUCGUAGAUAUUAGGGAAGAACACCAGUGGCGAAGGCGGCUCACUGGCCCGGUACUGACGCUGAGGCGCGAAAGCG